rnacentral:lncRNA from 1 species
GGCCAAUGAGAAAGAAAUUUUUUGUAACAACUUAAAGUUAUACAAAUGAUUGACUGGGACAAUGUUAUGUGCUUCAAAUGCAUACUUCGAGGUAGUUGUAUUAUCAACAUUGGCGAUUAUUCGAACAAUUUUCUUUUGCAAUACGAGAACUUUAUUUAUGUUUGU